AACUUUCAACAACGGAUCUCUUGGUUCUGGCAUCGAUGAAGAACGCAGCAAAAUGCGAUAAGUAAUGUGAAUUGCAGAAUUCAGUGAAUCAUCGAAUCUUUGAACGCACAUUGCGCCCGCCAGUAUUCUGGCGGGCAUGCCUGUUCGAG
rnacentral:rRNA from 1 species